rnacentral:rRNA from 1 species
GCUCCUCCGGGGCGCAGCAGUGGGGAAUAUUGCACAAUGGGGGGAACCCUGAUGCAGCGACGCCGCGUGAGUGAAGAAGUAUUUCGGUAUGUAAAGCUCUGUCAGCAGGGAAGAAGAAAGACGGUACCUGACCAAGAAGCCCCGGCUAACUACGUGCCAGCAGCCGCGGUAAUACGUAGGGGGCAAGCGUUAUCCGGAUUUACUGGGUGUAAAGGGAGCGCAGGCGGCACGGCAAGCCUGAUGUGAAAGCCCGCGGCCCAACCGCGGGACUGCAUUGGGAACUACCGUGCUGGAGUGCCGGGGGG